rnacentral:tRNA from 1 species
GCCGAGAUAGCUUAGUGGUAAAGCAGCGGUAUCGUAAACCGUGGACGGAGGUCCGAUUCCUCUUCUCGGCU